GAAAGGUUGUGUUGCAAUUGCACGCAACUGGGUGUAUUACCGAGACACCCCAAUUAGG
rfam:Blautia hydrogenotrophica CAG:147 genomic scaffold, scf290